GUGCCAGCAGCCGCGGUAAGACAGAGGAGGCAAGCGUUGUUCGGAAUUACUGGGCUUAAAGCGCGUGUAGGCGGCUCAGAAAGUGUCGUGUGAAAUCCCGCAGCUCAACUGCGGAACUGCUCGGCAAACUACUGGGCUUGAGGUUGGUAGAGGUGCCUGGAACUCUAGGUGGAGCGGUGAAAUGCGUAGAUAUCUAGAGGAACGCCAGAAGCGAAAGCGGGGCACUGGGCCAAAUCUGACGCUGAGACGCGAAAGCGUGGGGAGCAAACAGGAUUAGAUACCCUCGUAGUCC
rnacentral:rRNA from 1 species